rnacentral:rRNA from 1 species
UUUAAAAGCUCGUAGUUGGAGUUAUAGUGUGUCCUUUUUUGAGGGUGCAUUGGCUUCGGCCUGUGUACCGUCGUUUUAGGCCCACUGUAUCUUUUGCUGUUGCAUUUCACAUGGCUUCACUGUUGUGUGGGAUUGUACAGCGUAUUACUGUGAAAAAAUUAGAGUGUUCCAAGCAGAUGUAUAUCUGAAUAGUUCAGCAUGGAAUAAUGGAAUAGGGGAGAUUACCCUAUUGUUGGUUUUGGGGUGAUUUCUGAUGAUGAAUAGGGACAGUUGGGGGCAUUAGUAUUUAAUUGUCAGAGGUGAAAUUCGAGGAUUUAUGAAAGACUAACUUCUGCGAAGGCAUUUGCCAAGGAUGUUUUCAUUGAUCAAGAACGAAAGUUAGGGGAUCGAAGACGAUCAGAUACCGUCGUAGUCUUAACCAUAAACGAUGCCGACUAGGGCUGGGUCUCUUGUAGAUCCGGACCUUUAGAGAAAUCGCAAGUUUUUGGGUUCUGGGGGGAGUAUGGUCGCAAGGCUGAAACUUAAAGGAAUUGACGGAAGGGCACCACCAGAAGUGGAGCCUGCGGCUUAAUUUGACUCAACACGGGGAAACUCACCAGGUCCAGACAUAGAGAGGAUUGACAGAUUGAGAGCUCUUUCUCGAUCCUAUGGAAAGUGGUGCAUGGCCGUUCUUAGUUGGUGGAGUGAUUUGUCUGGUUAAUUCCGUUAACGAACGAGACCUCAAGAGGGUGUUUAGGGCUACCCUUUCUUUUAAGGGUAUUCUCUACGCCCUCGACUAUCGGUUCUUAAGCCGAAGGAAGGUUGAGGCAAUAACAGGUCUGUGAUGCCCUUAGAUGUUCUGGCUGCACGCGCGCUACACUGAUGGGGGCAAAGAGUGGGACAUUCGCCUUGCUCGGAAGGGCUGGGUAAUCUUGCGAAACCUCAUCGUGCUGGGGAUAGAUCUUUGUAAUUAUCGAUCUUCAACGAGGAAUUCCUAGUAAGCGCGAGUCAUCAGCUUGCGUUGAUUACGUCCCUGCCCUUUGUACACACCGCCCUUCGCUACUACCGAUUGAAUGGUUUAGUGAGGCUGGGGGAGGCGGGUCUUUUAGACUCUUCUGGCAACAGAAAUUGCUGAACCUAUCCUAACUUGAUCAUUUAGAGGAAGUA